rnacentral:tRNA from 1 species
CAGGAUGUAGCUCAGUGGUAGAGCACUUGCUUAUCAUGCAUGAGGUCCUGGGUUCAAUUCUCAUUUUACUGC